CACGUAGGGGGCAAGCGUUGUCCGGAUUUAUUGGGCGUAAAGAGCUCGUAGGUGGCUCGGCAAGUCGGGUGUUAAACCCCCAGGCUCAACCUGGGGACGCCACUCGAUACUGCUGUGGCUAGAGUCCGGUAGGGGAGCGUGGAAUUCCUGGUGUAGCGGUGAAAUGCGCAGAUAUCAGGAGGAACACCAGCGGCGAAGGCGGCGCUCUGGGCCGGUACUGACACUGAGGAGCGAAAGCGUGGGUAGCAAACAGG
rnacentral:rRNA from 1 species